GGGGCUGCCCGUAAUAGAGAUGUCGGGGUCUGGAGGAUGCAGCCGAUUUCUGCUGAUUUGAUCAGGUUGGAGAUUCGGGCCGUGGGCUGGGAUCGUGGAUUCUUUUUCUGAUUGGUUGACGUUGUCUUCGCUGUCCCAUAUGACUGGGAUGUCAUCAACGUAUCUACGGUGCAGUUUUGCUUCGUUGAUCGGGUUCGUUGGCUUGGAUGUUUCAAUUUUUCUCAGUGUCGGCUCUGCCGGCGUUCCGGCGGGGGGGCUGCUGAUGGGGACCCCUUCAGUUUGUCGGUGGGGGACAUUCCUAGACUCGGGGUGUGGCCGAUUGCAUGGGACGUCUGCUGUAUCUCUGUGCAGUGCUGGGUCGUGAUUGUCUCGGGGAGCGUUUUCUGAGAGGAACUGGUAUAGGUGGAGGCGGGUGGGAGCCACUUUAGGUGCU
rnacentral:lncRNA from 1 species